UCGUCUGAGCUAAGCCUGAACAAACGCAACACACCUGUGAACUCUGUGGUGAAAAUGAAGCAGCAGCUGCAUCUUGGGGAGCUUGGAAUGUUUUAAGGCAAUGCCUCACCUCCUACUGUAGUUUUAUAUAAUAAAGCCUGUAUAUUCAGGAAGCUUCUGUCCUGUUUGUGCCUCCACCAGAAGAAAUGAAAUGAAGUUGUGCUGUCAUGGUUCUGGUUGUGCCUUCAGCUGAAGAAAUCAAAAAAAAGUUGUUCAUAUGUUGCCAUCAACCCAAGCUGCAUUUCCUUGGGGACAGGAUUCUCAGAUGGCAAGCAUUUCCUGGAACUAGGCCUGACCUAAUUCAAGUGCCUUUCUCCCAAGAAACAGAGCAACACAAGAGUUUUGUGGUUAACGCAGUCUGUGUUCUGGUCCUUUCAGACAGGCCUUGAAUCCUCUGACACAUCCCAGCUUUCACACAACUGAACUUACACCAGACAGCUGAGGUCUGCCAAGUCAUCAAUAAAGUCAAACAGCUGGCUGAUAUCGUAUGUAAUGGAUGGACUGUUGGGA